UGAGUACGAGAUGCUACGGCAUCGAAGCAGUCUAUGUCAUACUUCCAAGAAAAGCUUGCACUGUCAGAAACAGAUAAUGCCUGUACCAUAACCGACACAGGUGGGUAGGUAGAGUAUACUAAGGGGCGCGAGAUAACUCUCUCUAAGGAACUCGGCAAAAUGACUCCGUAACUUCGGGAGAAGGAGUGCCUUAUUUUUAAGGUUGCAAUAACAAGAUCCAAGCAACUGUUUACCAAAAACACAGGUCUCCGCUAAGUCGUAAGACGAUGUAUGGGGGCUGACGCCUGCCCAGUGCCAGAAGGUUAAAGAAGUCGGUUAGCAUUCGCGAAGCUGGUAACUGAAGCCCUGGUGAACGGCGGCCGUAACCAUAACGGUCCUAAGGUAGCGAAAUUCCUUGUCGGGUAAGUUCCGACCCGCACGAAAGGCGUAAUGAUUUGGAUACUGUCUCGGAGAGGGGCUCGGUGAAAUAGACUUGUCUGUGAAGAUGCGGACUACCUGCACCUGGACAGAAAGACCCUAUGAAGCUUUACUGUAACUUGAAAUUGAAAUUGGACUUUAUUUGCGCAGUAUAGGUGGGAGGCGUUGAAAAUAUUCUUGCGGGAAUAUUGGAGCCAUCAGUGAGAUACCACUCUUGUAAUGUUAGAUUUCUAACUUUAUAUCAUUAUCUGGUUAAAGAACAGUUUCAGGCGGGCAGUUUGACUGGGGCGGUCGCCUCCCAAAUGGUAACGGAGGCGCACAAAGGUUUCCUCUGAACGGGUAGAAAUCGUAUCUAGAGUGUAAAGGCAUAAGGAAGCUUGACUGUGAGACCUACAAGUCGAGCAGGGACGAAAGUCGGUCUUAGUGAUCUGACGGUGCUGAGUGGAAAGGCCGUCACUCAACGGAUAAAAGUUACUCUAGGAUAACAGGCUGAUCUCCCCCAAGAGUUCACAUCGACGGGGAGGUUUGGCACCUCGAUGUCGGCUCAUCGCAUCCUGGGGCGGUAGUACGUCCCAAGGGUUGGGCUGUUCGCCCAUGAAAGCGGUACGCGAGCUGGGUUCAGAACGUCGUGAGACAGUUCGGUCCAUAUCCGGUGUAGGCGUUAGAAUAUUGAGAGGAGCCUUCUUUAGUACGAGAGGACCGAGAAGGACAUACCUCUGGUGUACCAGUUAUCGUGCAAACGGUAAACGCUGGGUAGCUAUGUAUGGAGUGGAUAACCGCUGAAAGCAUCUAAGUGGGAAGCCCACCUCAAGAUAAGUAUUCU
rnacentral:rRNA from 1 species